GAGCUUGCUCUUCGAUUCAGCGGCGGACGGGUGAGUAAUGCCUAGGAAUCUGCCUGGUAGUGGGGGACAACGUUUCGAAAGGAACGCUAAUACCGCAUACGUCCUACGGGAGAAAGCAGGGGACCUUCGGGCCUUGCGCUAUCAGAUGAGCCUAGGUCGGAUUAGCUAGUUGGUGAGGUAAUGGCUCACCAAGGCGACGAUCCGUAACUGGUCUGAGAGGAUGAUCAGUCACACUGGAACUGAGACACGGUCCAGACUCCUACGGGAGGCAGCAGUGGGGAAUAUUGGACAAUGGGCGAAAGCCUGAUCCAGCCAUGCCGCGUGUGUGAAGAAGGUCUUCGGAUUGUAAAGCACUUUAAGUUGGGAGGAAGGGCAGUAAGAUAAUACCUUGCUGUUUUGACGUUACCGACAGAAUAAGCACCGGCUAACUCUGUGCCAGCAGCCGCGGUAAUACAGAGGGUGCAAGCGUUAAUCGGAAUUACUGGGCGUAAAGCGCGCGUAGGUGGUUUGUUAAGUUGGAUGUGAAAGCCCCGGGCUCAACCUGGGAACUGCAUCCAAAACUGGCAAGCUAGAGUACGGUAGAGG
rnacentral:rRNA from 1 species